GAUGAGCGCUGGCGGUAUGCCUAACACAUGCAAGUCGUACGCCUCACUUCGGUGAGGAGUGGCGGACGGGUGAGUAACACGUUAGUACCUGCCCCAAAGUGGGGGAAUAACUGCCCGAAAGGGUAGCUAAUACCCCAUAGUCUCCGGUUUAUCCGGAGUAAAGAUUUAUCGCUUUGGGAGGGGCUUGCGUUUGAUUAGCUAGUUGGUGAGGGUAAUGGCCCACCAAGGCGACGAUCAAUAGCUGGAUCGAGAGGUUGACCAGCCACACUGGGACUGAGAUACGGCCCAGACUCCUACGGGAGGCAGCAGUGAGGAAUCUUCCACAAUGGGCGAAAGCCUGAUGGAGCAAUACCGCGUGCAGGAUGAAGCUUUUCGGAGUGUAAACUGCUUUUCUGAAGGAAGAUUAUGACGGUACUUCAGGAAUAAGGAUCGGCUAACUACGUG
rnacentral:rRNA from 1 species